rnacentral:ncRNA from 1 species
CGUUCAGAGAUUGUCUCUGUCGUUACCCACAUCAGUGGAUACGGGAAAGCAAUCGUAGA